AUCCCAGUUCGGAUCGCAGGCUGCAACCCGCCUGCGUGAAGUUGGAAUCGCUAGUAAUCGCGGAUCAGCAUGCCGCGGUGAAUACGUUCCCGGGCCUUGUACACACCGCCCGUCACACCAUGGGAGUCGGUAACACCCGAAGUCGGUAGCCUAACCGUAAGGAGGGCGCCCGCCGAAGGUGGGGAUUGAUGACCUGGGGUGAAGUCGUAACAAGGUAAC
rnacentral:rRNA from 1 species